CCUACGGGAGGCAGCAGUCGAGAAUCAUUCACAAUGGGGGAAACCCUGAUGGUGCGACGCCGCGUGGGGGAAUGAAGGUCUUCGGAUUGUAAACCCCUGUCAUGUGGGAGCAAAUUAAAAAGAUAGUACCACAAGAGGAAGAGACGGCUAACUCUGUGCCAGCAGCCGCGUUCAUACAGAGGUCUCAAGCGUUGUUCGGAAUCACUGGGCGUAAAGGGUGCGUAGGCUGUUUCGUAAGUCGUGUGUGAAAGGCGCGGGCUCAACCCGCGGACGGCACAUGAUACUGCGAGACUAGAGUAAUGGAGGGGGAACCGGAAUGCUCGGUGUAGCAGUGAAAUGCGUAGAUAUCGAGAGGAACACUCGUGGCGAAGGCGGGUUCCUGGACAUUAACUGACGCUGAGGCACGAAGGCCAGGGGAGCGAAAGGGAUUAGAUACCCCAGUAGUC
rnacentral:rRNA from 1 species